rnacentral:rRNA from 1 species
UACGGGGAGGCAGCAGUGGGGAAUAUUGCACAAUGGGGGAAACCCUGAUGCAGCAACGCCGCGUGAGUGAUGACGGCCUUCGGGUUGUAAAGCUCUGUCUUCAGGGACGAUAAUGACGGUACCUAAGGAGGAAGCCACGGCUAACUACGUGCCAGCAGCCGCGGUAAUACGUAGGUGGCAAGCGUUGUCCGGAUUUACUGGGCGUAAAGGGAGCGUAGGUGGAUUUUUAAGUGGGAUGUGAAAUACCCGGGCUUAACCUGGGUGCUGCAUUCCAAACUGGAUAUCUAGAGUGCAGGAGAGGAAAGGGGAAUUCCUAGUGUAGCGGUGAAAUGCGUAGAGAUUAGGAAGAACACCAGUGGCGAAGGCGCCUUUCCUGGACUGUAACUGACACUGAGGCUCGAAAGCGUGGGGAGCAAACAGGAUUAGAU